rnacentral:rRNA from 1 species
AUCGAACGCUGGCGGCAGGCCUAACACAUGCAAGUCGAACGAGAGGCGGACGGGUGAGUAAUGUCUGGGAAACUGCCUGAUGGAGGGGGAUAACUACUGGAAACGGUAGCUAAUACCGCAUACCAUCAGAUGUGCCCAGAUGGGAUUAGCUAGUAGGUGGGGUAAUGGCUCAUCUAGGCGACACUCCCUAGCUGGUCUGAGAGGAUGACCAGCCACACUGGAACUGAGACACGGUCCAAACUCCUACGGGAGGCAGCAGUGGGGAAUAUUGCACAAUUGGCGCAAGCCUUAUGCAGCCAUGCCGCGGGUAUGAAGAAGGCCUUCGGGUUGUAAAGCCCUUUCAGCGAGGAAGCGUUACUCGCAGAAGAAGCCCCGGCUAACUCCGUGCCAGCAGCCGCGGUAAUUC